rnacentral:rRNA from 1 species
CCUACGGGUGGCAGCAGUGAGGAAUAUUGGUCAAUGGCCGGAAGGCUGAACCAGCCAAGCCGCGUGAAGGACGAAGGUGCCAAGCAUUGUAAACUUCUUUUGUCAAGGGACAAAAUCAGGCUCGAGAGCCUGACCGAGGGUACUUGAAGAACAAGCAUCGGCUAACUCCGUGCCAGCAGCCGCGGUAAUACGUGGGAUGCGAGCGUUAUCCGGAUUUAGUGGGUUUAAAGGGUGCGUAGGCGGACUGUUAAGUCAGCGGUAAAAGCCCGGGGCUCAACCCCGUCGAGCCGUUGAAACGGGCUGUCGUGAGAUGUCGAGAGGUAUGCGGAAUGCGCAGUGUAGCGGUGAAAUGCUUAGAUAUUGCGCAGAACUCCGAUUGCGAAGGCAGCAUACCGGCGGCGAUCUGACGCUGAGGCACGAAAGCGUGGGUAUCGAACAGGAUUAGAUACCCCAGUAGUC